GACGAACGCUGGCGGCGUGCUUAACACAUGCAAGUCGAACGGAAAGGCCUCUUUCGGGGGGUACUCGAGUGGCGAACGGGUGAGUAACACGUGAGUAACCUGCCCUUGACUUUGGGAUAACUUCAGGAAACUGGGGCUAAUACCGGAUAGGAGCUCCUGCUGCAUGGUGGGGGUUGGAAAGUUUCGGCGGUUGGGGAUGGACUCGCGGCUUAUCAGCUUGUUGGUGGGGUAGUGGCUUACCAAGGCUUUGACGGGUAGCCGGCCUGAGAGGGUGACCGGCCACAUUGGGACUGAGAUACGGCCCAGACUCCUACGGGAGGCAGCAGUGGGGAAUAUUGCACAAUGGGUGGAAGCCUGAUGCAGCAACGCCGUGUGCGGGAUGACGGUCUUCGGGUUGUAAACCGCUUUCGCUCAUGACGAAGCUUUGUGUGACGGUAGUGGGUAAAGAAGCACCGGCUAACUACGUG
rnacentral:rRNA from 1 species